rnacentral:rRNA from 1 species
UACGUAGGGUGCGAGCGUUGUCCGGAAUUACUGGGCGUAAAGGGUGCGUAGGUGGUUUCUUAAGUCAGAGGUGAAAGGCUACGGCUCAACCGUAGUAAGCUCUUGAAACUGUAAGACUUGAGUGCAGGAGAGGAGAGUGGAAUUCCUAGUGUAGCGGUGAAAUGCGUAGAUAUUAGGAGGAACACCAGUUGCGAAGGCGGCUCUCUGGACCGUAACUGACGCUGAGGCACGAAAGCGUGGGGAGCAAACAGGAUUAGGAUACCCGGGUAGUCCCUGAG